CAAACUUAAAAAGACAUAUUACAGUGCAGCUUCCAUCUUUAUCACGGUAAAAAUUGACGGUUCUUUACAAAUUUAGAGUGCUAAAUCUUGUCUUACAAUUGUAACUUUGCAAUAGAGCUUCUGGUGGGUUGAGGCAAGAGUCUACUACAGUGGUAAGUGACAAACAGCCUCUAACUUCACUGCAUUACUGUGAGUAACUGAUAAAAGACAGACUGCUAAUGCGAGGCAGCUACACAUCCCCAUCAGCACUUUCACAAGCUUCUGUGCAAAUUAAGUUCUUCUCUCUAAUGAAUGCCUCCGUCAAAUAAACGCCACGUAUCCUCUGCAGUUGAGUACAUAAACAUGCCAUAUGCAUGCAUGGACAUAUGCUAGUUACUGUCAUUGAUUUAUCUCCACAAUAAAUUCUAAGGCAGAACAAGGUAAUCUAUAGCAGGGAAGAUGUUGCAGUAGGUCUUGUUCAAAACAAGCAUAUUUAAUGCAAAUUCAGUUUCUACCCUGCACUGUGCAUCCCUCAGUGCCUCUGUGCCAUGCACACCGCACACAAUUUACUGCAGGGCUGUCAAGGCCACACCCCUUGCAUGCACGGCGUAUCUCUCCAGAACAUGAACUGCUCCCUUCUUACAAUUCUGAGUAAUGAGGACACGCUACUGCAUUUAAACACACAGACUACCAGUCAAGUAAGCUUUUAUGAUAACAAAGGGGUAAGGAUUGCCUGGCAACAAAUAAAUCAAACCAUAAAACAUACCAAAAAUAAAAACAAAUGAAGAUUUAGUGGAGGAUGUUGAUGAAAUGCAAGAGGAAGCCUGCUUUAGUACCAUUUGCAAAUCUAACAAAAUAUACCAAAAAAAUAUUUAUUUCAUUCCUAUGGAAAGUGUCUAUCUUUGAAUAAUAUCCAAAUGACAGAUAUUAUUUAGGGUACCCAACAGAGUACGCAACAACAAUGAGUUUUUUUUUUUUUUUUUACCAAAGUCUUGUCAAAAUCAAUCAUGGUUUUUCUAAAAUAUAUUCAUUGAUAAAUUAUCCUGUUUUGUGGUUGAAUACGGCCAAUUAUUAAUAACAAAAAAUCCAUAUUUUCUCACACUUUGAUCCCUGUGGCAGUGACAUGGCUACUACGUGGUCGCAUUCUGGUCUUGUAACAUCGUGUGCUUCGGCGGAGUCAUAUUUGCGCUUUGUGCGCAUGCCCUCAUCAUGGAGAACUCAUGGAGAGGUGCAUGUGAUGCGGCUUUGAGGUUGAAGGCAAUCGAUAUAGCAGCUUUUGCUGCCGGUGGAUCUUGGCAGUGUGGAGCGGUGUCGUGAGGCUCACUGUUGCUGCAGGCGGGUUUCGGGGGGCUGGAGUGAUGCAUGCUAGGGAAGACAGCACAGGCUCGGGGGCUGGCGCUUGGCGCGGAAACAAAAAAUUGAGAUACUGGCUGGGUGUGUGGUGAGGGAAUUGUGGAGCUGUUUGGUUCCGAAAGUAAAGAAGACAACUUUGGUGGUUUUAGUUCCCAGGAGGAGGACGAGGACAGCGAUGAAUUAAUUUGCUGGUACGCUACCGUUUACCUAGCCAUGUUACACACACUAUUUGGCACUGCUGGUAAAAAAAAGCUUAUAUUUAAUUCAAAGUUUAAAAAAUAUUUCUGGGUAACAUCUUUCUGUGUUCUAAAUAUCCCAUGUUACGAUGUGGACACCUGCGUCUUGGCUAUGUACAAAUCUUUUGUUGUCUUUAAAUUUAGUGGGUGCGGCUUAUAUACUGGUGUGCUCUAUAGUACAGAAAUUACGGUAAGGACUUUCAAGCAUAAAAAUGUCUAAAUUAACUAAAAUACAAAUCUAAUGCAUCCAGAAGAUGCAUUCAAAGAUGUUGUGAAUGAUGUAGUAUUCUAAACUGGUCACUGUACUGGUCACUGGACAAAAACACCACACUUGUUCGCCGGAACAACAGGCUUUUAUUGCAGGUUUGAAUUAUCUCACAACAGGCACAAUAAUCCCAAAUAAAAAUCCCUAAUAAAACCACAGGCUACAGUGAAGCCGUAGCCCAUGCCAUGCUAAAACUCAACUCUGUACCCCUGACUUCACAUCCUGUACGGCCACCACUCAGCCACAUUUAUAGCAACACACACAAGCAUGAGUCUUAUUUAUGUUUUAUUUACUCUUAUUAUGUUCACUAUAUUGGGCAAUAGGAGUGUAAAGCUGUCUAUAGGGGUGUUAGUUCAUGUCUAGGAGGCUCUAAAAAUGUUAAAAACCGUAUUUAGAAAGAAAUUCACUUAUUUAUUAACCACGAUAAACAAGGGAUUGAUGUAUUUUGCCAUAAUUUUAGGAAAUUGUAUAUAAGAUAUACAACAGAGUUGGGUGGUACUCACUGAUCUAAAAAAAAAGACUGGAUCGAGCAACCUAUUGUUUUCACGCGCCAAAAUUUGAAGCCAGAUUUUUUUCGAUCGCCGCCAUCUUGGUGAGACCACCUUACGCGCCACAGCUUUGUGAUUGUGCUGGUAUACGAACGCAGAAUUAGUGAAAAAUCAUCAAAAACAUCAGGAGUGCCAGUGAAGGAAGCGAGGAUGAGGAAACACAACUUAAAAAGCACUUCCCAAGAACCUUCCACUCGUAAGUACUUUUACUUGGCACCUUUUUUUGACCUGAUAUAUGUGCCACUACUUGAACGGCUUUGCUUUGAAAAGUUCUCGAAAUGUAACCAAAAGUUAAAGUAUGAACUUUGAUGGGUGGUUUUGCAAGAAUUUUCUAGUUACACAUUCCUGUAACAACUAGGCCUUUUUUUGGUGCCUAGCCUAGCAAUCAAUGAUAAAAUUAUUUCUAUGCAGUUUUUUACAGUAGGCUUUGAGUAUUUGCACUUAUCUAAUGUCUUUUUGUACCAAAAAACAGCUUUUUUAAAAGCUACCACAACUACCAAGUUACAUUAAUUCUGAUACCACACAUGAUUCACGCAAAGGUAGAAGACAUGUGACAAAAUUUCUGCUUUCUUCCUGCCUUAACCUUAUCCUGAGAUAAAAAAAAAUAAUGGUUUACCGUAGGAAAAUAAUUAGACAAAGAUAGACUUUAAAUUCCGUACAAAAAACAAUGUUUGCAGGCUGCCACACAGCCAAUUUUUCGUUCGUCUCGAAGCUAAAAUACAUCUUACUAGCUUGAUAAAUGACACAAAAGCGUAUAAAUCUGAGUAGUUAUAACCUUUAGCAGUUGAUUUUGGUGGCUAUACGAUCAAUCGAAGUUUUACCAGUGUGUUGCCAUACUGUUGUCUCACAGCAAAGUGGUCUCACCAAGAUGGCCGCCGCAAAUUUCCAUUGGCUUCAAAAAUAAAACAAUAGAAGCUCGAUCCAGUCUUUUUUUUUAGAUCAGUGGGUGGUACUAUUUUAAGAUUGAAUUAAAUGACAUUGAAUUAAGAUAAAAAGAAAUGCUAUUUCGUAUAAACCCCCCAGCUUCCCCAAUGACUUUUUUACAUAAUCUUACUAAAGUCUUGUGAGAACAUAUUCCAUCUGUUCACCACCAACAAACUCUCUGUCACAUCUUGAUUCAUGAUGACAGCAUCCACAGAGCACAAUGAGUGGCUUAAUUAAAUCCAUCAACACAAUGCAGCAUUCAUUAUAUGUCCACAUAUUUCACAUAUCACUGACUCAGAUUACAUGAAUCAUUACACCUUUCUAUUUGUCCAAGUAGGCUUGUCUUUAGGAGGGAACCAGAUGUAUUGCGAAGAAUGCCACUGUGUCUCCUGCCUCUAGACACAAUAAAAUCAUAAUAAUUUGUUCAGAAAUAGUCAAUUCAUUUUCUUCCUGUCUUUCUUCCUCUCAUCUUUUUCCUGGUUUCUCUCGGAUUAUUUUGCCUCCGGGGGAAUCAUGAAAUGAACUGCAUGUUGUAAUUGUAAAUGUGCUCUGGCACAAGUCAGCGUGUCUCCAGGAAAGUGAGGGAUCUCUGAGGGGUUAACCUGAUUUCAAUAAACAUAUGCAUACAAACAUAUCCCUUUAGGAGCCCUGCGCGGUGGUGCCCUGUGUAAUCAAAGAAACCAGGCUGCUGCUGUCAUUUCUCUUGUUCAACUGCUUUAAGACAUUCACUCAACUGAGCCUAAAAGAAAAUAACAAUAAAAAGCUUUAUUUAUUGUGCUCCAUUCAUGCAUUUUUACAGUGGGAUAUGCUUUCAAGCUCUCUGUAUGUGACUUUCACUACGUUCCUGCAUGUUCCUAUUCAAUUAGACGCAGGGAUGCUCUGCACUGACCCAAAUGUAAGACAACCCUGAAUAUAAAACCACCACCCAACACCUUCUGCUUGACAGUUUUUUGAUGACUCUGUUUUUAAAAUUAGCAUCAUAACUCCUCCUCUGUUCUUUGUUAACUUGCUAACAACCUGUCAGACACUUUUUUCCAAGCAGGAAGAAAAGCUACAACUCGCUUGUGGAGAAGUCCUUUCACGUUGGAUACAGUGGAAUCUCAUUGUCCCCCAGCUUCGUCACCCGUCUGUGACAUCAUCAGCGGUUGACUCUGUAGUUCUCUGCUAACUGACACGGUUACGCCACAAGUCUUUGCUUUACUUAUUGAUCAAACAAAGCUGCAAUUGCCAGCAUUUUGAUAAAAAAUGAGAAAAACACGAUUGAAUUCAAGAAAUAACUCAUAGCGCAACACGAAGGUGGUGUCCGUGUGGAUCAAGUCUUCAUGCAAGGAGGCUCUUGAUUCAUAAACCCGAGAGAUCUGAGGAGCUUCUCAAGGCAAAGACAAUGCAGCCAGCAUGUUGAUACAGCACACUGCUGAAGAUUAAGACGGGAUGAGCUGCUUCAAACAGUGAAUGUGUCUCUUCUUAAACCGUGCUCAGACUCCUUCGUCACUCGUACUACUAAUUCUGCACCUCCGAACCACAAAAUGAGCCAGUUGAGGUGGCUCGGGCAUCUAUUUCGGCGACUCCCUGGGGAGGUGUUCAAGGCCUCGGGACAGACCUAGGACAUGCUGGAGGGACUAUGUCUCACAGCUGGUCUGGGAACACCUGUGUGCUCUAUGGACCUGGAGAAGGUGGAGAGAGACAGGGAAGGACAUCCCUGCUGCUACCACCUUGACCCAGAUAAGCAGAAGAGAAGAAAUGGAUGGACAUCUAAAAAUCAAUCAGGGGAUGGAACAAAAAGAAAAAUGUUGUUGUUUUGGGAAGACCAUUUUCUGUUCCAGCUUGGCUUGGAGGACUUUGGUGGGGAAGACCUUGAGAUGAACUACCUCAGUGACCUCACAGAUGUUUUUCAGAAUGAUUAAUGGAUAAAUAUUUCCACAGACACACUUCAGUAUCUUGCAGAACAUCUUUCCAGGGGAGUGGAAUCUGUUACAACUGCAAAAGGGGGUGACAACCUCCAUUUAUUCAUUCCCAUUCUGACUUACUGGUGUCAUGAUACAAUAGCCAGGACUCCCAAUGCUAUUGUCUAUAAGUGUAUAAUGCUUGUAAGUAGUUUGUCUGCAUUAUUUAAUUUAAAGAUAGCUUGAACUCCGCACCAGCUUUAUCGACCUUUGCAUGCGAUUUACAAUGUAAAAUUAAAACAUUUAAAAUGUUGGUGCGCUAAUCAGCUGUUGGACCUCACCAGGGCUAUUAUUCAAGAUUCAAAAGUCUUUCAAAGACACACAGAACAUCAAAAUUACGUUUUAAAAUUAUGUAUUAAUGCGGGCUGAGCAGUUUGCUUCUUCCAUUACAACAUUGGUUCUGUUGCUGCUCUGUUGUGCAAUAUACUUGCUAAUAAAUGAGCAUUUGGUCAACGAUCGCUAUGUUUUGCUUUCCAAUUUCAUGCCAAAGCAUGGCGAAUCACUAUUAAAGAAACAUUGGAUUCAGUGAUGUGUGAUGUGUGUGCCUCCCAGGUAUGUUCUUUAUGCGAUUGUGUAGCUGAAUAACUUGCCUUUCCAGAUUAAAUGUCUUUUCUUGAUCUUGAAUUUUGUG